UGCCCAAUGCGGGAUUCGAACCCGGGUUGUAGCGGUCGAAAACCAAUGAUUUAGACCACCCUUCCACUCAUCCACUGGGC
rnacentral:tRNA from 1 species